rnacentral:rRNA from 1 species
UACGGGGGGAGCAAGCGUUGUUCGGAUUUACUGGGCGUAAAGGGCUCGUAGGCGGCCAACUAAGUCAGACGUGAAAUCCCUCGGCUUAACCGGGGAACUGCGUCUGAUACUGGAUGGCUUGAGAUUGGGAGAGGGAUGCGGAAUUCCAGGUGUAGCGGUGAAAUGCGUAGAUAUCGGGAGGAACACCAAUGGCGAAGGCAGCUCGCUGGGACGUUACUGACGCUGAGACGCGAAAGCGUGGGGAGCAAACAGG